GGUAAGCGCUGCGUCACCAGUCAGUCAGUCACCAGCUAGUCAACAUUCACUAGUAUUGUCCUCGCAGCCUUGGUGUAAAGGGAAGUACUGUCCUCCUGCAGGGCAUAGGACGUAAUACACUGUUUACAUCAACAUGAACAAGACCACCGUGAAGUAAGAUGGCGAGUGUGAGUGAUGGCGAUGAAACCCUGGUGAAGGAGGACAGUGAGGGCAGCCCAGUUCAGCCAUUUCCACAGUUGCUGCCAGUGAAGGGGCUGAGCCAGGCCCUGACAGCCCUCACUCUCCCCAGAGUUGAGGGUGAAACUGUGUCUUGGAUUGUUCCUGAGAAGGAUGAUGGGAAGGGCCAAGUAAGCAGCAGUACCAACACAGAGGUGUGCAAGGGUUGCCAGAAGCAGCGUAAUGCACAAGGGCGGGGAGCCAAAAGAGCAAUAGAACCGCCCUUACUAGAAUACUCCUUUGCUAAUCUGUACCUUUCCCCUGGCAAGAAGAAGCCUCUAUUGCGACGGAGCAAGCUGGCAGCUCUGGGGGUGCAGUACAGUAGUGAGGUGCGUGGUGGACAGAGCAUAGGGAUUAUAAUGGAGCAGGUCACUUCACCCAAAGAUGUGUGCAUUAGUGACACAUCCACGGUGGAAGUUGGAGUGGACAAGUGUUUGAACCCAAAGGUUCACAGUGGCAGCUCACUUAUUAGUUCCAAAAAGACUGAGCCAGUGGCAGCAGUAGAACUUCAUGUUCCUAAGGCAAGAGUGUUUGAGUUAGUCAGUAAAUCAACAGAUACUGAAGACUUUGCCAGUGUGUGCCAGAGUAACCAGAGUCAGGUAGAAAGUAGAUAUAAUGUAAGUAAGAAGCUAGAGUUUUCACCACAUGGAUGCAGACACCGAGGGCAGCCAAAGUCACGGCGUGCCCUCUACAAGAGGCGGUGUCGCAGGCGGCUGGCAGAGGUGGAGCUGCCAGACCUGAAGAGUCUCUCCAUCACAGAAGCAGGUACAGCACGCUCAUGCUCCCAGCAGGCACGCAGCCUGGACUACGAAGACGUCACCAUGGAUGAACUGGCUGCCUACUUGGACAACUUUCUGUACUUGCCAAAGAAGAUGUCCCAUAUGGCAGAGAUGAUGUACACCUGAGGAUGUAGAAGCUGCCCUCCACCAGACUCUGGGCAUUGGUCGCUGAUGCUGAAAUUUUGUCUACACGUUGCACCAUCAUGAGCAAUCACCAGAAGACGAGGAUCUUUCUGUCUGCUCUGGUUGUUGAUGUAUCUCAGCACCGUGGAGCUUCAUGUGACUCUUGCACUUGUUCUAACAGUUUCUCUUGCCACACCUUGUGCAAGUCAUUAAUCAGUGAAAUAUAUCAUUUUUACCUAUAAGUCAAGAGGAAAGCAAUAUAUUUUUGAAAAAAAAUAUAUAUAAAACUUUAAGGCAGGUAUGGAACUGACCUGGUGAAAGGUGGGCAAAAAGAAAAAAAUAAAGGUGACCACCUCUUCCAACAGCAAAAAGGUCAAGGAAGUCUGUUCCCCUUAAUGAUUAGUAGUCUGUAAUGUGUUUAAUUAAGGCAAGCUACACUGGCAUGAUUUGUAUCACAUCUAGGGAGAGGGGCUCUAUACACCAUAGCAGUUGGCUGAUUCCCUUGCCCAGCAAACUUCAGUGAUGAAUAUUGCAAAUGAUGAGGCAAUUGUUAAGGAGCACAGAAACCUUUAAAACUAGCCAUGUAUUACUACAUUACUCACAGUGAAACUAAGCUGGUAAAUACUCCACACAUUAUAAUGCCUAGUCAGAGAGAGAAGUUGAAAAGUAGUUACGUAUAUGUUGCACGUUAAAACUUGGUGCUAGAGAUUUUUUUCCCCCACCCCAGCUUACUUUGGUCCUUGAUAUGAAUUUUUGUUAUUUUUCUUCAGCAUGUUAGUUCACUGCAGUCAAUCUAAUGCUACAUAUUUCGUAGGCUACAUGUUUCAAUUAAUUUAUAGGCAUCAAUGGUCACACAUUUAGUAAUUUUGAUGCUGCCUCCCCAAAGAUUUCUUUUAUACUGUGAGUUUCUUGGUUGAUGCCCCCUACAAGUGUUUUAUCCAAAAGUGAUCCUGAAUGAAAGGAGCACAGGUGAUAGGACAGCCUUUAUUUUUUUCAAGGAGGUGUUGGUGUUAUAUAUGUGGUGUGUGGUGGGUAGGAAACAUGGCCUCCAGACAAGUUACCUGUAGAGAUGAACUAGCAAAGUUCAGACAGUACUUGAUAUUGGCUUCCAGUGCUGAGCUUAGACUUAAAAAGGGAGUAAUAUGGUGUCAUUGUUGUCCACAUUACUCUUGGCAAAUGGUUUUAGAAAAAUCAAAGAUAUAACAUGGUGCACUUAUUAAAUUUUAUAUAUAUAUAUAUAUAUAUAUAUAUAUAUAUAUAUAUAUAUAUAUAUAUAUAUAUAUAUAUAUAUAUAACACACACACACACACACACAGAGGUGGGCGGUUUGAAUUGGAAGUCUAAUUAUCCAAUUAAUUAGACUCGCAUUUUUUAAUUGGAUAAUAUCAAUUGGAUUGCCGAAAACUUAAGCAAUUUGUAAUUCAUCAAGGAUGAUGUCUUUGUUUUUUUCACAAUAGCAGUUUUUUUUUUUCUUUCAUAUUUUCUCAAGUAAAUUUUUUGUUUUGUUUUUUGUUUUAUUCUAUUCUAUUCACACUUUCAUAUUUCUCUGUAAUAAAAUGCAUAAAAUAUGAUGAUUAAUUAUUAAAUUGAGGAUUCAGCUGGCAGGCUUAGAGUAAAAAACUUUAAAUAUUAUCAGGUAUAUAUGGAACAAAGUUGACCCUAUCUUUUUUAUCUGAGAGAAUAUAUAAGUAUUACUGUGUAUUAUAUGUAAAACCUAUGUACCAUAUAAUUAAAUUUUUGUGUUAUAUUUUGAUUAAAAUAAAAUGUUUAUUUUUAUUGUAAAAGCUUGGUUUCUCUUUGUAUUAAUUAGAAAUGGCUUAUUUAGGCUAAAAAGCAUUAAAUUCCCUUUAGAAAUAUUGAAUCACUUUUAAAAAUAUCGAAUCGCUAAUCAGACUUAGCUUUUUGGCACAUGAAUUGGAUAAUCGAAUCAAACUUGAUGAGCGGGCGAAUUGGUAAUUCCUAAUUGGACUUCUGUCUUUUUUUAUCGCACCAGCCUCUGUAUAUAUAUAUAUAUAUAUAUAUAUAUAUAUAUAUAUAUAUAUAUAUAUAUAUAUGAUAGGCAUAAAGGUGGAAUUUCUGUGGUUAUCCAACCAAACAUAUAAUACAUCUUGUGCUUGAAAACCCAUUGAUAUGUAAUAUACGUAAUGUUAUUAGUAUUGUCCUCCAGUCAGACCUUUUUGCUAUUUGUUAGUCCUUUAGACUAAAAAAAUAAUGUUAAGAUUGACAGAUGAAGGUGAAUUUAAGAGAUGAAAUAAGUUGAUGAGGGCCCUGUGAUAAAAGCCAACAAUAUGGAAUGGGUUCUUGUUUAUACCUAAGCCAAGGAUAUCAUUAUAAGAGGAACUUCACUUGGAAUGUUGAAUAAUGAAUGUUUUUUCUUUUUAAUUUUCCAUAAAUCCUUAUGGCA
rnacentral:misc_RNA from 1 species